AUCCCUGCAGCGCAAUGGGUAGGGCGUUGGACUUCUAAUCCGAAAGUCGUGGACUCGAAUCCCAUCUGGGAUG